rnacentral:rRNA from 1 species
UGCAACGCGAAGAACCUUACCUGGUCUUGACAUCCCGGAGACCCUUAGGAAACUAGGGGUGCUUCCAUCUGGAAGAAUCUGGAGACAGGUGCUGCAUGGCUGUCGUCAGCUCGUGUCGUGAGAUGUUGGGUUAAGUCCCGCAACGAGCGCAACCCUUGCCUUUAGUUGCCAGCAGUUCGGCUGGGCACUCUAAAGGGACUGCCGGUGUUAAACCGGAGGAAGGUGGGGAUGACGUCAAGUCCUCAUGGCCUUUAUGACCAGGGCUACACACGUACUACAAUGGCCGAUACAAAGGGCAGCGACACUGCGAGGUGAAGCCAAUCCCGUAAAAUCGGUCUCAGUCCGGAUUGGAGUCUGCAACUCGACUCCAUGAAGUUGGAAUCGCUAGUAAUCGUGGAUCAGCAUGCCACGGUGAAUACGUUCCCGGGCCUU